AUACGUAGGUCCCGAACGUUGCGCGAAAUUACUGGGCGUAAAGGGUCCGUAGGCGGUCUGGUAAGUGGAAGGUGAAAGCCUGGGGCUCAACUCCAGAAUUGUCUUCCAAACUGCCGGACUUGAGGCAGGGAGAGGUCGGCGGAAUUCCCGGUGUAGCGGUGAAAUGCGUAGAUAUCGGGAGGGACACCAGUGGCGAAGGCGGCCGACUGGAACUGUCCUGACGCUGAGGGACGAAAGCCAGGGGAGCGAACCGAAUUAGAUACCCUAGUAGUCC
rnacentral:rRNA from 1 species